rnacentral:rRNA from 1 species
CAUGCAGGCGGUUACAUAAGUCAGGUGUGAAAUCCCCGCGCUUAACGUGGGCAUUGCAUUUGAAACUAUGUAGCUAGAGUUCUGUAGAGGGGGGUAGAAUUCCAGGUGUAGCGGUGAAAUGCGUAGAGAUCUGGAGGAAUACCGAUUGCGAAGGCAGCCCCCUGGACAGUGACUGACGCUGAGGCUCGAAAGCGUGGGGAGCGAACAGGAUUAGAUACCCCUG